AGUGAACGCUGGCGGUAGGCCUAACACAUGCAAGUCGAACGGCAGCACAGUAAGAGCUUGCUCUUACGGGUGGCGAGUGGCGGACGGGUGAGGAAUACAUCGGAAUCUACUUUUUCGUGGGGGAUAACGUAGGGAAACUUACGCUAAUACCGCAUACGACCUACGGGUGAAAGCAGGGGAUCUUCGGACCUUGCGCGUUUGAAUGAGCCGAUGUCGGAUUAGCUAGUUGGCGGGGUAAAGGCCCACCAAGGCGACGAUCCGUAGCUGGUCUGAGAGGAUGAUCAGCCACACUGGAACUGAGACACGGUCCAGACUCCUACGGGAGGCAGCAGUGGGGAAUAUUGGACAAUGGGCGCAAGCCUGAUCCAGCCAUACCGCGUGGGUGAAGAAGGCCUUCGGGUUGUAAAGCCCUUUUGUUGGGAAAGAAAAGCAGCAGGUUAAUACCCCGCUGUUCUGACGGUACCCUAAGAAUAAGCACCGGCUAACUUCGUG
rnacentral:rRNA from 1 species